CUCUAAACUGUUGAUUCGAGGUGAGUUGAGUUGCCAGUUGCACGAAUUCCCGUAGCCAUACCUCAGCGAAUACCGAAGACAAAUAUUUCUCUGCGAAGUGCAUAUCCUCUUCUGAUGUUUUUCUCAUGAGGAGUACAAAUAGAUAAACGGUCUCUCAAUUGAGGCACAUCAAAUUCUGGACCUAAAGGCGGUCGAUGUCCAGAAAUCAUAUACAAAUAAUAAAUGAAUCCGCAUAUCUAA